rnacentral:rRNA from 1 species
CCUACGGGGAGCAGCAGUGAGGAAUAUUGGUCAAUGGACGAGAGUCUGAACCAGCCAAGUAGCGUGAAGGAUGACUGCCCUAUGGGUUGUAAACUUCUUUUAUAUGGGAAUAAAAUGUUCCAAGUGUGGGAUUUUGUAUGUACCAUAUGAAUAAGGAUCGGCUAACUCCGUGCCAGCAGCCGCGGUAAUACGGAGGAUCCGAGCGUUAUCCGGAUUUAUUGGGUUUAAAGGGAGCGUAGGUGGAUUGUUAAGUCAGUUGUGAAAGUUUGCGGCUCAACCGUAAAAUUGCAGUUGAAACUGGCAGUCUUGAGUACAGUAGAGGUGGGCGGAAUUCGUGGUGUAGCGGUGAAAUGCUUAGAUAUCACGAAGAACUCCGAUUGCGAAGGCAGUUCACUGGACUGCAACUGACACUGAGGCUCGAAAGUGUGGGUAUCAAACAGGAUUAGAUACCCGAGUAGUC